rnacentral:rRNA from 1 species
AUGUGACCUCAAANCAGGUAGGACUACCCGCU